rnacentral:rRNA from 1 species
UACAGAGGUCUCAAGCGUUGUUCGGAUUCAUUGGGCGUAAAGGGUGCGUAGGUGGCGCUGUAAGUCAGGUGUGAAAUUUCGGAGCUCAACUCCGAAACUGCAUUUGAUACUGCGGUGCUUGAGGACUGGAGAGGAGACUGGAAUUUACGGUGUAGCAGUGAAAUGCGUAGAUAUCGUAAGGAAGACCAGUGGCGAAGGCGGGUCUCUGGACAGUUCCUGACACUGAGGCACGAAGGCCAGGGGAGCAAACGGG